rfam:Canis lupus familiaris chromosome 2, whole genome shotgun sequence.
AGGAGCAACAACCCCAGUGGCAGGGCCAGCUCUGCAGCCCUGGAGUCAGCUCCCGCAGUAACCACGGAGCUCUCUGUCUGCAGGGCCUGGAGGCUCCGGGGCGGG